rnacentral:rRNA from 1 species
UACGGGGGGGGCAAGCGUUGUUCGGAAUUACUGGGCGUAAAGGGCUCGUAGGCGGCCAACUAAGUCGGACGUGAAAUCCCUCGGCUUAACCGGGGAACUGCGUCCGAUACUGGAUGGCUUGAGUUUGGGAGAGGGAUGCGGAAUUCCAGGUGUGGCGGUGAAAUGCGUAGAUAUCUGGAGGAACACCGGUGGCGAAGGCGGCAUCCUGGACCAACACUGACGCUGAGGAGCGAAAGCCAGGGGAGCAAACGGG